AUGCAUUUAGCUUAGUUUCAUGCC
rnacentral:siRNA from 1 species